rnacentral:lncRNA from 1 species
AAAUUAAAAAUAAAAAUCGACCUAUUUCGGUAUUUUUCUUUAAAGUCGCCGGUUUACGAAAUAAUGAAUUUAUGCGUUACUUUAUGGACGCACUGUAGAACCAGAACAGUCUACACGUUUGUACUAAAGAAACAUGUAAAAAAUUGAUGAUAUUUGACUCUGAUUUACUUAAUGGGCAUUAGGGGGGAAAUAUUAGCCAAUAUGAAGAAUAAAAGCUGUGAUUGUGAUAGGUCAUAACUUCCCAGUGACUGAAGAAAUAUUAAAUUCCAUGGAGUUUUUUGGUGUCUACUGAUAGGAUUAAUAGGAUAGCAUCAAAUGGAUGACGAAUAAUACGGGACAUCGCUGAAGCCACUAAUAGACAGGUUACACAUUAAAAGUGGUAUCUUGAAAAAAAGUUAAAUCUAACAGCAAGUACUUUUGGACAAAUCGUCUCAUAUGCAAAGGAAACAGGUCUCCACAUAGUUUGUUAAAAAGCCUUGUUGUAGGUGAAUACAAUGUUGAUUAGGUAUAUAAAAACCAUUCAUUGGGCAGAAUCCAUAGAAAAUAUGCAUAGGCCCAUGGAGCACCUAAGACAAAAUUAUAGUUUUAAUUUAUGGCUAACAGAUUCGAGACUCCUUGGUAGUCCUGAUGGAAUUAUUGAAGAAGAAUUAUGUUGUGUUAGCGAUUAUGAUGAAUUUUGUAGCUUAUGAUCUUUAUGUAAGUAAAAAAGUACGGACUGCUACAUGUUAUAUAUAGAAAAUACUAAGGAAUCACUGAAUUACGAUAUAAAAUCUGUUUAGAAUGUGGUUAAUUGUAAGAGAAAUAAUUUUAAUAUUCCAUGUUAUAAGUUUAACACUUUAUUUGCGGAUGGUUUUCAUGUGAGCCACAUAGUGCCACCAUCAAUGUGCAUUGGAUAUAUAUGAACUUCUAAGACGAAAAUAAUUUCAGUUGAGAGUAUAAGUCUUAACUCAUUUUAUCCACACUCAAUGUUAAUGAUUCUGUUUUUAGUGAGCCACAAUCAAUUGUUGAUGCUUUUGCCAAUUUCUUCAGCAGUGUCCAUAAUGCUUCUUUUUCCUGUCCAGACCAGAGCAGUCAUAGUCCCAAUAUCACUCAUAGUGAUAGUGAUAUUCACACUUAACUAUUAAAAUUUGUGACAUUCUAUCAUGUUUACAGUGUCUUAAUGCCAAUAAAGGUCCUGAUACAUAUAGAACAUCUAAUUUGUUUAGAUUUCUGAUGUACUGUUCUUUUAAAUUGUGUAAGCCAUAUUUUUAUUCUGGUAUGAUCAAUUUAUUGAAUCUAGAUUAUCUUCUUGUCAGAAGAGUUAACUUUGACUUCAUAUUUAUUUUUAAGCUUGUAAAUGAGAUAAUCCAAUCUUCUGAAAUGCUUCAGCUAAUUUGUUAUAUUUCUUUCCGUUCACUGUGCCACAAUUCACUUUUCUCUGUUCCUUAUCGCAGAACUAAUUAUGGUUCUAAUACAGGUAUGAUAUGGUCUGACCACUAUGCAUGCAAAUCAGUUACCUCAUAAUUGUUUAGGUUAUGUAUCAAUUGCCUUAGGAAUUUAUUUAUUGUAUUUGAAUCAGUCAUUGCGAAAACAAUCUUAGUCCAUAUUUUGGGUAAAAUGACGAUGCUUUUUGACGCCAUGAAAUUUACAUUUAAACAUAUAAACAUUUAAACUUUUUUUGCCUUUUAGAAAGAUUCAUUCAUAACCCAUAAUACUUAUAUAAAAUAUAGUAUUAUCUAGGAAUAUCCAACUAAUGAAAAGAUUUUUACGUUUCCUGAAAAAUUUACACAUUGUAACAUGUAUUGUUUUCGCAAUGACCGAAUCAUUUAUGUAUUUCUAAUUUUAUAAAUAUAUUGUAUAUAUUUUAAUGCUGAAUUCUUAUAUAAUUUUGACAGUGAUUUUGUCUCAUUUGUUAGUAAUAAAUACCUACAUAUCAAUUAAUUACCUAAUGUAUUAAUGUAAUAUGUAAUAAAAGUUCCUUUAAAAAUUUAUUUUUAUUCCCAAAAUACAUUCUUAAUAGAAGUAAGUCUACUAGACGUAUUGCUUGGAUGUCCAAUGAAGGUCCAAUUAUAUUGUGGACAUCCUCUCAGGAAGCUCGGGAGACGUUUAUUAGCGCGACAUUUUGGACCAAACUAUGCCGUCUGAUGAAGGUCCAAAUGACACCCAGUAAACGUCCCCUCAGGACGUUAGGUGUAUGUUUGGCAGCACCACAUUUGGAUCAAAAUAUAAAGUUGUUCAUACUAAAAUGGACGUUGGAGGGACAUAUGUGAAGGACUUUCACUGGAUGUCCGUGUGUUAUUAGGGAAAUAUUUUGAAUGUGUAUAAAAUGCCCUAAUUGGUUAUUAAAAUAAUUUUCAGUUUUUCGAAAUAAGAUCUUCCUUUACUUGCACAAAAAUAAUAUGUUUACUUAUCUUAAAUAAUAGUUAAUUAAAUGAGUCACUAGUUUAUUAAGUAUUAUCUAUGCUUUAAUCCAGCCUUUAACUAAAUGCAAUACAUAACUGCCGAGCCCUAUAAAGUUUAAGUGAUAUUUCUGCAAUUAAUUUAUAUAAAUUGAAUAGAAUAGAAAAAAGCUUUAUUCUCAGGAUUCACAAGUUUAUACAAAAAUAAAAAUAUCAGUAGGGAGAAUGGUGUAAAAUACAAUUUAUAAGGGUUUCUGAAACAACCUACACUUAACAUAAAAAUAACAGUCUCCUUGCAGGUCAGCUUGAAGGUAUUAUUCCACUUUGUAUGGUUCUAGGUAUAUGAGUAACUGUUGAACAGACUUUCUAUAUUCUGUAGUUUUCUCAGAUGUUGUUAGUCUAUGUAUUGGUACAUUAUAUAGUUUAUAAAAUUGUUUGGUUUAUGCCUACUAUGCGAAUUUAUGCCUACUUCUAAAAAUGAAAAGAAAGCAUUCAUAUAUGUAUGUUCCUGUUAUUGUUAGUAGGUUGAGUUUUUUGAAAUUAUCUCUACAUGAAUCCCUGUAUUUCAAGUUAAGUAGAGUUCCGAUUGCUCUUUUUUGUAAUAUAAAAACCUGUUCAGCCGUACUACUUUCCCCCCAGAAAAUUAUUCCAAAAAUCGCAAUACA